AUCUCCCCAUACCCAUCCCCGAUAUUUUGCAUAUGUCCCCGUCCCCUCCCCGUCCCCGUCAGAAUUACUUGAGAGAAUCCCCAUCCCCUCCCCGAAUAAUAACAGGGGAUCCCCGAGGGUCCCCGGUCCCCGAAUAACUAAUAGUCUAAUACAUUAUUUUUAUUUUCGAUUUUAAAUUAAUCAUAUUAAAAUAAAAAAUUCAGAUAAAAAUAAAGUUCAAAAUAUAUCUUACAUUAAUAUUGAUCCAUUACAAAGUCACAUUCAAAAUAUAAAUUAUUAAAAUAAUUAUAAAACAAUGAAAAUAAUAUAAGUAAAGUAACUUAUAAGUGCAAAUAUUAAUAACUGUAUAAUAUAAUCACAAUGUAAAAUAAACUCAUACUGUUAUUGUAAGCUCGUAACCAACUUUGACAGCACAUUAAGGCCUCCAAUGUGCUUGGAUGAAGUUUGUUACGGUGUGGGCUCACAACUCUACCACCGCGAAUAAAAAAUUGGGUAAAAAAUUUUCCCCGUCCCCUCCCCGAAUAAAAAAUUGGGUAAAAAAUUUUCCCCGUCCCCUCCCCGAAUAAAAAAUUGGGUAUAAAAUUAUCCCCAUACCCUCCCCGAAUGGGGAAAAUCCCCGAGGGUACCCGUCCCCGUGGGGAUUUUUGCCAUCCCUACUU
rnacentral:lncRNA from 1 species